UACGUAGGGUGCGAGCGUUGUCCGGAAUUACUGGGCGUAAAGAGCUCGUAGGUGGUUUGUCGCGUCGUCUGUGUAAUUCCGGGGCUUAACUUCGGGCGUGCAGGCGAUACGGGCAAUACUUGAGUGCUGUAGGGGAGACUGGAAUUCCUGGUGUAGCGGUGGAAUGCGCAGAUAUCAGGAGGAACACCGAUGGCGAAGGCAGGUCUCUGGGCAGUAACUGACGCUGAGGAGCGAAAGCAUGGGUAGCGAACAGGAUUAGA
rnacentral:rRNA from 1 species